GAUGAACGCUAGCGGGAGGCCUAACACAUGCAAGCCGAGCGGUAUUGUUUCUUCGGAAAUGAGAGAGCGGCGUACGGGUGCGGAACACGUGUGCAACCUGCCUUUAUCUGGGGGAUAGCCUUUCGAAAGGAAGAUUAAUACUCCAUAAUAUAUUGAACGGCAUCGUUUAAUAUUGAAAGCUCAGGCGGAUAGAGAUGGGCACGCGCAAGAUUAGCUAGUUGGUGAGGUAACGGCUCACCAAGGCGAUGAACUUUAGGGGGCCUGAGAGGGUGAUCCCCCACACUGGUGCUGAGACACGGACCAGACUCCUACGGGAGGCAGCAGUGAGGAAUAUUGGUCAAUGGGUGCAAGCCUGAACCAGCCAUCCCGCGUGAAGGACGACUGCCCUAUGGGUUGUAAACUUCUUUUGUAUAGGGACAAACCUACCCUCGUGAGGGUAGCUGAAGGUACUAUACGAAUAAGCACCGGCUAACUCCGUGCCAGCAGCCGCCGUAACAC
rnacentral:rRNA from 1 species